UGGAAAUGAUGACACAGAGAUAACUGGGUGCAUUUGUUUGAAAGGUGUGUGAUUUGAGCAUUUUAAAACUUACUAUAAAAUUAAGUAAACAUUAAAAUGGGGCGGGAGGGGGCUUGUAUGUGUGUGUGCGUGCAUGGGGGUAAUAAUGUAAAGGCUGAGGAAAGGGAGCCCUGACUGACAAUGCAGAUAUCGGAGUGCAUCUGAGGCUGUUGUAAAAAAUACAGGAGUGUUUGUUACAGCUUUGCCGAUGAUUAUAGCUCAGCAACAGCUCACCUACCUGCCUGGCACCCAAGUCUCUAACAGGUUCAUAAAUGUGGACCUGUGAUCUGAUCCAU
ensembl:scaRNA